AUGCGGGCCCUCUUCUGGAACAUCCGCGGCUUCGGCCAUGAUGGUCGUCGCCGCCAGCUUGUGGAGUACAUGCGAGAUGAGCACAUUGACAUCGUGGCUGUCCAAGAGACCAUGCGCCGCGAAUUCUCGCUCCCCGAGCUCGAGCGUUUGAGCUCCCACCUUUUUGCGUGGCACUGGCUCCCUUCUAGUGGGAGCGCUGGCCACUCGGGUGGCAUCCUUUUAGGCGUAAAGGAUGCCACUUUCGAGGUGGGCAGUAUGGACCGGGGGGAAUUCUUCGUCAGCAUGGAGCUUUUCGAGCGAUCUCUUAAUUUCAAAUGGGAGAUCAUCAUUGUCUACGGACCUGCCGACCAUAGUAGGUCGGCGGCCUUCCUCGAGGAGCUGCAUCGUAAGAUCGCGGCAGCCUCCCUCCCUGUGGUGGUGGGGGGCGACUUUAACCUGCUU
rnacentral:rRNA from 1 species